AGGACGAACGCUGGCGGCGUGCUUAACACAUGCAAGUCGAGCGGUAAGGCCUUUCGGGGUACACGAGCGGCGAACGGGUGAGUAACACGUGGGUGAUCUGCCCUGCACUUCGGGAUAAGCCUGGGAAACUGGGUCUAAUACCGGAUAUGACCUCCUAUCGCAUGGUGGGUGGUGGAAAGAUUUAUCGGUGCAGGAUGGGCCCGCGGCCUAUCAGUCUUGGUUGGUGGGUAAUGGCCUACCAAGGCGACGACGGGUAGCCGACCUGAGAGGGUGACCGGCCACGACCUGGGACUGAGACACGGCCAGACUCCUACGGGAGCGAGCGAGGUAGGGGAAUAUUCGGACAACGAAGUGGGACGAAAGCCUAGAUGACAGCGACGCCG
rnacentral:rRNA from 1 species